AUACUAACCUGGCAGGAGAGAUACCGUGAUCAAGCAGGUGGUUUUCCCAGGGCGAGGCUCACCCAGUGCAUUUGGGGUGUGUUGACCCCUGUGAUUUACCCAAAUUCGGGAAACUCGACUGCAUAAUUUGUGGUAGUGGGGGACUGCGUUGGUGCUCUCCAA
rnacentral:snRNA from 1 species